rnacentral:rRNA from 1 species
CGGCAUGCCUUACACAUGCAAGUCGAACGGCAGCACGGGAGCAAUCCUGGUGGCGAGUGGCGAACGGGUGAGUAAUAUAUCGGAACGUGCCCAGUCGUGGGGGAUAACGCAGCGAAAGCUGUGCUAUAAUACCGCAUACGCCCUAAGGGGGAAAGUAGGGGAUCUUCGGACCUUACACUAUUGGAUGAGCCCGCGUCGGAUUAGCUAGUUGGUGGGGUAAAAGCCUACCAAGGCGACGAUCUGUAGCUGGUCUGAGAGGACGACCAGCCACACUGGAACUGAGACACGGCCCAGACUCCUACGGGAGGCAGCAGUGGGGAAUAUUGGACAAUGGGCACAAGCCUGAUCCAGCCAUACCGCGUGUGUGAAGAAGGCUCUAGGGUUGUAAAGCACUUUAAGUUGGGAGGAAAGGGUGAUGGUUAAUAUCCACCAUCUGUGACGUUACCAACAGAAUAAGCACCGGCUAACUCCGUGCCAGCAGCCGCGGUAAUACGGAGGGUGCAAGCGUUAAUCGGAAUUACUGGGCGUAAAGCGCGCGUAGGUGGUUGUGUAAGUUGGAUGUGAAAGCCCUGGGCUCAACCUAGGAACUGCAUUCAAAACUGUCAGGCUAGAGUAUGGUAGAGGAGUGUGGAAUUUCAGGUGUAGCGGUGAAAUGCGUAGAGAUCUGAAGGAACAUCAGUGGCGAAGGCGACACUCUGGACCAAUACUGACGCUGAGGUGCGAAAGCGUGGGUAGCAAACAGGAUUAGAUACCCUGGUAGUCCACGCCGUAAACGAUGUCUACUAGCCGUUGGGUUCCUUGAGGACUUAGUGGCGCAGCUAACGCAUUAAGUAGACCGCCUGGGGAGUACGGCCGUAAGGUUAAAACUCAAAUGAAUUGACGGGGGCCCGCACAAGCGGUGGAGCAUGUGGUUUAAUUCGAUGCAACGCGAAGAACCUUACCAGGUCUUGACAUCCUACUAAGUUUCCAGAGAUGGAUUCGUGCCUUUGGGAAAGUAGUGACAGGUGCUGUAUGGCUGUCGUCAGCUCGUGUCGUGAGAUGUUGGGUUAAGUCCCGUAACGAGCGCAACCCUUGUCCUUAGUUGCCAUCAGGUAAUGCUGGGAACUCUAAGGAGACUGCCGGUGACAAACCGGAGGAAGGUGGGGACGACGUCAAGUCAUCAUGGCCCUUACGAGCGGGGCUACACACGUGCUACAAUGGCCAGGACAAACGGUUGCAACCCCGCGAGGGCAAGCUAAUCUGAGAAACCUGGUCGUAGUCCGGAUCGCAGUCUGCAACACGACUGCGUGAAGUCGGAAUCGCUAGUAAUUGUGAAUCAGAAUGUCACGGUGAAUACGUACCCGGGCCUUGUACACACCGCCCGUCACACCAUGGGAGUGGAUUGCACCAGAAGUAGCUAGCUUAACCUUCGGGAGGGCGGUUACCACGGUGUGGUU